rnacentral:rRNA from 1 species
UGGGGAAUUUUCCGCAAUGGCGAAAGCCUGACGGAGCAAUGCCGCGUGGAGGUGGAAGGCCUACGGGUCGUCAACUUCUUUUCUCGGAGAAGAAACAAUGACGGUAUCUGAGGAAUAAGCAUCGGCUAACUCUGUGCCAG